rnacentral:lncRNA from 1 species
GCGUCACGAUGGCUGUUCGGUAGGGGGAGGUGGGUGGGUGGCAAAGGCGUUGGGUCAUGACCUAGGCUAGCGAGGGUGUCAGCCUUUGUCAGAAGAAAAGGGCGAGGAGCGCAUUGACAUACAUGGCUGCGCCUACAAAACACUUUGCUGGGGUGGAAAGGGCUGAGCAUGCUUCUCGGCGCGACAAAGCAACACACACUCUUGCUGCGCAGAAGGCGAGUAGUGUGUGUGUGUUCCGUGGUGUCCAAUCGUGUCUGUAGCGUUCGAAUGCGAGAACACACACUGCAUCAUCAUCACCAUCAUCAUCUGCAUGCGCUAUGUGCUCGUCGACAACUAUUGUUUCCUGGCAGAUGGACUAGAUCGCAUCCCACGAAUGAGCUAGUCAGUCAUUCCUGAUUCAUUUCCCACAUCCGUUGCCUGUGUGUGGAUUUGUAAAGAGCUUGAUUGAAUGAAUUGCCCCAUUGCUUUGCCUGAGCCUGCAGCAGCCCAGUUGUGCGCAAUCGCUGUCUCUUCUUCGCAUGUGAUGUUCGGUGGACGCUCUCGCAAUUGAGGAGAAUGUUCCAACUCGGAUCAUGACGUUCCAUGCUUUCUUUACAAAAAUGUAUAUAUUUACAAAAAUGCAUAUACUUUCAAAUAAAUUAAUAAAAAAUAUAUAUACACACGUAGUAUUAUGGGUUUUUAAUCACAAUAACUAAGAUCUAUAAUGAAUUUGAAUUUGAAAGAAUUUGUUAUUUUAUUAUAACCUUGCAAUAUUUCUUUAAUAAUAAAAAAAUUAUUUCACAUUUUUAAAAUUAUUGUUUACUUCAAAAAUUGUAGAUUAUCUGCCUUUGAUUUUAAAUCUUAUCAUAUUGUUU